UACGUAGGCAGCAAGCGUUGUUCGGAGUUACUGGGCGUAAAGAGUGCGUAGGCGGUUUCGUAAGUUUGGUGUGAAAUCUCCCGGCUUAACUGGGAGGGUGCGCCGAAAACUGCGAGGCUGGAGUGUGGGAAAGGUAGGCGGAAUUCCUGGUGUAGCGGUGAAAUGCGUAGAUAUCGGGAGGAACACCAGUGGCGAAGGCGAUCAUCUGGGACUAACCUGACGCUGAGGAGCGAAAGCCAGGGGAGCAAACGGG
rnacentral:rRNA from 1 species